rnacentral:rRNA from 1 species
UACGGAGGGGGCUAGCGUUGUUCGGAAUUACUGGGCGUAAAGCGCACGUAGGCGGCUUUGCAAGUUAGAGGUGAAAGCCCGGGGCUCAACUCCGGAAUUGCCUUUAAGACUGCAUCGCUAGAAUUGUGGAGAGGUAAGUGGAAAUUCCGAGUGUAGAGGUGAAAUUCGUAGAUAUUCGGAAGAACACCAGUGGCGAAGGCGACUUACUGGACACAUAUUGACGCUGAGGUGCGAAAGCGUGGGAGCAAACAGG